GGAUGGUCUCCCUGGGAGCCAGACAGGAUUCUGCACAGAGAAUCAUCUUGCUCUUCAAUAUCCGAUGCUCAGCUUUUUUUUUUUUUUUGACUCUGGUUAUUACAAACAUCUUGCUCUUUUGGCUUUUUAUUUGUUAGCCUGGCUGCUUGUCACAUAAUUGCCUACCUUGAUUUAGGGCAG
ensembl:misc_RNA predicted gene, 27365